GAGCUUGAUCCUGGCUCAGGAUGAACGCUAGCGGCAGGCUUAACACAUGCAAGUCGAGGGGUAUUAGUUUUCGGACUAAGAGACCGGCGCACGGGUGCGUAACGCGUAUGCAAUCUACCUUUUACAGAGGGAUAGCCCAGAGAAAUUUGGAUUAAUACCUCAUAGUAUAAUGACUCGGCAUCGAGAUAUUAUUAAAGUCACAACGGUAAAAGAUGAGCAUGCGUCCCAUUAGCUAGUUGGUAAGGUAACGGCUUACCAAGGCUACGAUGGGUAGGGGUCCUGAGAGGGAGAUCCCCCACACUGGUACUGAGACACGGACCAGACUCCUACGGGAGGCAGCAGUGAGGAAUAUUGGACAAUGGGCGCAAGCCUGAUCCAGCCAUGCCGCGUGCAGGAUGACGGUCCUAUGGAUUGUAAACUGCUUUUAUACGAGAAGAAACACUGCUUCGUGAAGCAGCUGACGGAUC
rnacentral:rRNA from 1 species